GAUGAACGCUGGCGGCGUGCCUAAUACAUGCAAGUCGAGCGAACAGACGAGGAGCUUGCUCCUCUGACGUUAGCGGCGGUCGGGUGAGUAACACGUGGUUAACCUACCUAUAAGACUGGGAUAACUUCGGGAAACCGGAGCUAAUACCGGAUAAUAUAUUGAACCGCAUGGUUCAAUAGUGAAAGACGGUUUUGCUGUCACUUAUAGAUGGAUCCGCGCCGCAUUAGCUAGUUGGUAAGGUAACGGCUUACCAAGGCAACGAUGCGUAGCCGACCUGAGAGGGUGAUCGGCCACACUGGAACUGAGACACGGUCCAGACUCCUACGGGAGGCAGCAGUAGGGAAUCUUCCGCAAUGGGCGAAAGCCUGACGGAGCAACGCCGCGUGAGUGAUGAAGGUCUUCGGAUCGUAAAACUCUGUUAUUAGGGAAGAACAAAUGUGUAAGUAACUAUGCACGUCUUGACGGUACCUAAUCAGAAAGCCACGGCUAACUACGUG
rnacentral:rRNA from 1 species